CCCUUAGAUGUUCUGGGCCGCACGCGCGCUACACUGACUGGUGCAACAAGUGUCGCUCCUUGGCCGAUAGGCCUGGGCAAUCUUUGAACGCCAGUCGUGAUGGGGAUAGAUUCUUGCAAUUUUUGAUCUUCAACGAGGAAUUCCUAGUAAACGCGAGUCAUCAACUCGCAUUGAUUACGUCCCUGCCCUUUGUACACACCGCCCGUCGCACCUACCGAUUGAAUGGUCCGGUGAAGCCUCGGGAUUGCGAAUGCUUCGUGCGGACGCGAGAACUUGGCUAAACCUUNCNAUUUAGNGGAAGGUGAANUCGUANCA
rnacentral:rRNA from 1 species